rnacentral:lncRNA from 10 species
CUGGAGUGAGGUCUCAUGUCUGCUUAUGCGGUGGCUCGCUGCUCAGAACAGGAUGGCAGAGAUGAGCACCACCAUCAAAAACUCAAGGACCAGUGCUGUGGGUCCAGUCAUCUGUUUCAUGGAAUUCACCAGUCUGGUAUCUUCAAAAUCCAGAAGGAUGAUGGCAGAUGGCAGGAAGGAGGAAGAGGGUAAUCUGGAAGAGUUUCCUGACCUACUCUGCUGCUGUGAUUAAACAACCACCAGGAAAUUUUGAUGACACUGUUCUCCUGAGCUCCUCCCUUUCCUCGGGGAAGAAAAGCAUUGAAACUACAAAAAUAAAGUGUUAUUUGGCUGGAGUGAGGUCUCAUGUCUGCUUAUGCGGUGGCUCGCUGCUCAGAACAGGGUGAGUCUCUGAGUUGUACGCUGAGGAGGGGAGGCUGUCAAUCUAGAAAAAACCCAUUGCAUGGGACACCUCCAUGGGGUCUGGGGGGCUGAGGAUGAGGAGCUGGACUGGAUCUAGGGAAGGAGGAGGUUUCAGAGGGUGAAAUUCUGGCAGUAAAUCCUGGGGGUGUUUGAAAACUUCCUCCCUCAGAAGGAGAAGACUCAGGGAGGAAUAAGGACAAACCAUGGGUCCCUUGAGGGGCAUUUACUAACUUAAGAGGACUUUAUCGGGAAGCAGAGUGACAAUGGCCUCCUUGAGGACUGAGGCCCCUGGAUAAAUGAGGCCCAGAUCCAGAUCCAGUCCAUGGGAGAUGAGACCUUCAAGGGACAUAUUUUUGUUGGGACAGAGGAAAAGUGCAGCUCUGCAGCUGCAGAGGAAGCCUUGGCAGUGUGAAAGCGACCUUGGAGGGGGCCCUGUGCGUUCUGAAUGCUUCUGAGGUCCAUCCCCUGUCCCCGCCUCUUUUUCUGGAUUUUUUGGGCUCCAUGGUCUCCGCCAUCUU